GUAAAGAUAAACUAAUUAAGUUAUCUGGUUCAUGCCCAGAAUAUAGAGCUAAUGCUUUUUUUUACA